CAGCAGCCGCGGGAAUACAGAGGGUGCGAGCGUUAAUCGGAUUUACUGGGCGUAAAGCGUGCGUAGGCGGCUUUUUAAGUCGGAUGUGAAAUCCCUGAGCUUAACUUAGGAAUUGCAUUCGAUACUGGAAAGCUAGAGUAUGGGAGAGGAUGGUAGAAUUCCAGGUGUAGCGGUGAAGUGUGUAGAGAUCUGGAGGAAUACCGAUGGCGAAGGCAGCCAUCUGGCCUAAUACUGACGCUGAGGUACGAAAGCAUGGGGAGCAAACAGGAUUAGAUACCCCUGUAGUCCCUGUCUCUUAUAC
rnacentral:rRNA from 1 species